UCACAUGCAAUUCUAACAUUGUAGAAAAGAUUGGAAAUAAAUUCACAAUGAAUUUAAGGUAAAUAAUUAACAAGUAAUUCAUAGGUCUAGCAACAGGCAAUGAUUAUCCCUUACGGUAACCCCAAUUCUAACGUCACCCACACGAAUACUUCUAAUGUGAAAAAUAAAUGACUAUCAUACACAAUAGUUUAACUGCAAUAGUAAAAAAAUGAAGAACACGAUACCGAACAGACCACGUUUGAAGGUUCGUAAAUAUCAAGAGAUGCGAAUUCACCGCUUUAGGACUACCAUUGCUCUAAAGCUUCCAGUAACCGCGAUGAUACAAAAAGACACCUGACACCCGAACGUCGAAGAACAAAAUCGUCCAAUUUUCAUCAUAUUGCCAGAACUGAAAUACAACAACACCACAGGGCCUUUCUCGACGUUCAGAACAAUAUGUCUGAAGACGACAUGCCAGACUCUGAUGGACAUGCCCUCACGCGAG
rnacentral:lncRNA from 1 species